AAACUGGUGCUAAUACCGGAUACACUUUUCUGCUGCGGGGCAGAAGAGGAAAGGUGGCCUCUUGGUCAAAGCUACCGUAUAGGGAUGAGCCUGCGUACCAUUAGCUAGUAGGUGGGGUAACGGCCCACCUAGGCCACGAUGGUUAGCGGGUCUGAGAGGAUGAUCCGCCACACUGGAACUGGAACACGGACCAGACUCCUACGGGAGGCAGCAGUGAGGAAUAUUGCGCAAUGGGGGAAACCCUGACGCAGCGACGCCGCGUGAGUGAGGAAGGUCUUCGGAUCGUAAAGCUCUGUCAGAAGGGAAGAAGUGUUAGAUGGUUAAUACCCAUGUAAUUUGACGGUACCUUCAGAGGAAGCACCGGCUAACUCCGUGCCAGCAGCCGCGGUAAUACGGAGGGUGCGAGCGUUGUUCGGAAUUACUGGGCGUAAAGGGCGCGUAGGCGGCUGGAUAANUCAGAUGUGAAAGUCCAUGGGCUCACUGUGGAAAGUGCAUUUGAAACUGUCCGGCUUGAGUAUCCGGA
rnacentral:rRNA from 1 species